UUCAAAGUGUAUGGUUACUAGCAAGUUUCAUGCAUUUGUUAUUUAGGUUCGAUUCCUAACUUUGAAA
rnacentral:tRNA from 1 species